UAAAACGUUGCUUCGGCGGGAACAGACGGCCCUGUAACAACGGGCCGCCCCCGCCAGAGGACCCCUAACUCUGUUUUUAUAAUGUUUUUCUGAGUAAACAAGCAAAUAAAUUAAAACUUUCAACAACGGAUCUCUUGGCUCUGGCAUCGAUGAAGAACGCAGCGAAAUGCGAUAAGUAAUGUGAAUUGCAGAAUUCAGUGAAUCAUCGAAUCUUUGAACGCACAUUGCGCCCGCCAGUAUUCUGGCGGGCAUGCCUGUUCGAGCGUCAUUACAACCCUCAGGCCCCCGGGCCUGGCGUUGGGGAUCGGCGGAAGCCCCCUGUGGGCACACGCCGUCCCUCAAAUACAGUGGCGGUCCCGCCGCAGCUUCCAUUGCGUAGUAGCUAACACCUCGCAACUGGAGAGCGGCGCGGCCAUGCCGUAAAACACCCAACUUCUGAAUGUUGACCUCGAAUCAGGUAGGAAUACCCGCUGAACUUAAGCAUAUC
rnacentral:rRNA from 1 species